AUUGAACGCUGGCGGCAGGCCUAACCCAUGCAAGUCGAACGAGUGGCGGACGGGUGAGUAAUGUCUGGGAAACUGCCUGAUGUAGGGGGAUAACUACUGGAAACGGUCGCUAAUACCGCAUACCAUCAGAUGUGCCCAGAUGGGAUUAACUUGUUGGUGGGGUAACGGCUCACCAGGGCGACGAUCCCUAGCUGGGCUGAGAGGAUGACCAGCCGCACUGGAACUGAGAAACGGUCCAGACUCCUACGGGAGGCAGCAGUGGGAAAUCUUGCACAAUGGGCGAAAGCCUGAUGCAGCCAUGCCGGGUGUAUGAAGAAGGCCUUCGGGUUGUAAAGUACUUUCAGCGGGGAGGCGUUACCCGCAGAAGAAGCACCGGCUAACUCCGUGCCAGCAGCCGCGGUAAUUC
rnacentral:rRNA from 1 species